UAGGGAAUCUUCGGCAAUGGACGGAAGCCUGACCGAGCAUCGCCGCGUGAGUGAAGAAGGCUUUCGGAUCGUAAAGCCCUGUUGUAAGAGAAGAACGAGUGUGAGAGUGGAAAGUUAACACUGUGACGGUAUCUUACCAGAAAGGGACGGCUAACUACGUGCCAGCAGCCGCGGUUAUAUGUAGGUCCCGAGCGUUGUCCGGAUUUAUUGGGCGUAAAGCGAGCGCAGGCGGUUAGAUAAGUCUGAAGUUAACGGCUGUGGCUUAACCAUAGUACGCUGUGGAAACUGUUAAGCUUGAGGGCAAGAGGGGAGAGUGGGAUUCCAGGUGUAGCGAUGAAAUGCGUAGAUAUAUGGAGGAACACCGGUGGCGAAAGCUGCUCUCUGGCUUGUAACUGACGCUGAGGCUCGAAAGCGUGGGGAGCAAACAGG
rnacentral:rRNA from 1 species